GGUGAACGCUAGCGGCAGGCUUAAUACACGCAAGUCGAGGGGCAGCAGGACUGUAGCAAUACAGUUGCUGGCGACCGGCAAACGGGUGCGGAACACGUACGCAAUCUACCCGAAACUGGGGCAUAGCCCGGGGAAACCCGGAUUAAUACCCCGUAACACUUUGAAGUGACAUCACUUUAUAGUUAUAGCUCCGGCGGUUUUGGAUGAGCGUGCGGCUGAUUAGGUAGUUGGCGGGGUAACGGCCCACCAAGCCUACGAUCAGUAACUGGUGUGAGGGCACGACCAGUCACACGGGCACUGAGACACGGGCCCGACUCCUACGGGAGGCAGCAGUAAGGAAUAUUGGUCAAUGGACGCAAGUCUGAACCAGCCAUGCCGCGGGGAGGAUGAAGGCCCUCUGGGUUGUAAACUUCUUUUAUAGGGGACGAAACCUCUUUUUCUUGAGAGACUGACGGUACCCUAGGAAUAAGCACCGGCUAACUCCGUGCCAGCCGCCGCAGUAAUAC
rnacentral:rRNA from 1 species